GUGGGAGUGAAGAGGACAAAACAGUCUGUGUGUGGAUCUGUGCGCUGUAACUCUGUGAGAGUAAAUAAACAUCCCAGGGACACAGAGAAAUAAUUAUUAGCAUCACCUUUGAGGAUUACGAAUGAGAUCAUCCUGGGGAGGUGAUGGAGACACCGAGAGCAUCACUAAUUAACAUUGAUUAACCUCCAAAGAUGUUAGGACUUAAAAUUACAUUUUUGGGCUCUGUGUUGCUGCUCGUGUUGUUCACUGAAAGCUCAAGAAGUCAACAGAGAAGCGCCAAAAGCUGCAGUACCUCUAGUGUCCAGCAGAGGUCAGUCCCCAUAGACUCCCAUGUUCAAAUGUCCAACUUCACAGCAGAA